AGAGUUUGAUCAUGGCUCAGGAUGAACGCUGGCGGCGUGCUUAACACAUGCAAGUCGAACGAAGCACUUUAUUUGAUUUCCUUCGGGACUGAUUAUUUUGUGACUGAGUGGCGGACGGGUGAGUAACGCGUGGGUAACCUGCCUUGUACAGGGGGAUAACAGUUGGAAACGGCUGCUAAUACCGCAUAAGCGCACAGCAUCGCAUGAUGCAGUGUGAAAAACUCCGGUGGUAUAAGAUGGACCCGCGUUGGAUUAGCUAGUAGGUGAGGUAACGGCUCACCAAGACCGCGAUCGGUAGCCGGACUGAGAGGUUGAACGGCCACAUUGGGACUGAGACACGGCCCAG
rnacentral:rRNA from 1 species